UACGUAGGGUGCAAGCGUUAUCCGGAAUUAUUGGGCGUAAAGAGCUCGUAGGCGGUUUGUCGCGUCUGCUGUGAAAACUGGAGGCUCAACCUCCAGCCUGCAGUGGGUACGGCAGACUAGAGUGCGGUAGGGAGAUUGGAAUUCCUGGUGUAGCGGUGGAAUGCGCAGAUAUCAGGAGGAACACCGAUGGCGAAGGCAGAUCUCUGGCCGUAACUGACGCUGAGGAGCGAAAGCAUGGGGAGCGAACAGG
rnacentral:rRNA from 1 species